rnacentral:rRNA from 1 species
CGCGUAGGCGGCCUUCUAAGUCGAACGUGAAAUCCCUGGGCUCAACCCAGGAACUGCGUCCGAUACUGGAAGGCUUGAAUCCGGGAGAGGGAUGCGGAAUUCCAGGUGUAGCGGUGAAAUGCGUAGAUAUCUGGAGGAACACCGGUGGCGAAGGCGGCAUCCUGGACCGGCAUUGACGCUGAGGCGCGAAAGCUAGGGAGCAAACG